rnacentral:lncRNA from 1 species
UGGAAAAGAGUGAAAGAAUAAAUAAAUUUAAAAAACAACUUAAUUAUCUACAUCCUUCGGCCUUCUCCUCCAUAUACGGCAUUCAAAGCCUUGUAACUUCCAGCUCAUGGUAUGAAGGCAAUCCAGUAUGGUAUGAAGGUUUCUUUGUUUAGAAGCGGUAAAUUGGUAGUGGUAUUUGAGUUUCCUAUGAGAUAUGUCUUCUUUUUUUUUUUUUUAUAAUCAAAAUAUGUUUUGUUUAGCCCAACAUGGUUAGUUAAAUGGUACUCACUUUAUAAGAGUUCGCUCUUUAGGCAUCUCAAAGAAAUACUUUGAACGGUAGUUAGCUAUCGAUAAAGGUAUUUUUAGUGGUUUAAGGUGUUUGCAAGCAAUUGCUAAAUGUUUAAAGAGCAAUCUUCAUUCCAUAUUUGUGAAUCAAACAUUUUUGUUAGAUUUGGACCUUGAUCUUGGUUAAUAAAUGAAAAUCGUUGAUUGUAUCACCCCCUCAAACAAAUUUUUUUAAACCCCUACUAUAUGGUAAGGUAUACCGCAAAAUGCAAAGGUAUUUUUGUCUUUUGAACAGUGUGGUUUGGUACAUUAAGAGUAUGUUUGGGAGUUGAAUAUUUUAGUAAAAAGCUUUGGAAGGCCUGGUCUAUAUAUAUAUUUAUGAUAAAUGUAAGAAACACAAUCUUUUUAACUUUAUUUUUAACAUUCACUCUUUUUAUUAGGUCAUGAUAUGUCUUUCUAAUAAAUUUUCAAAGUACCUAACCUUAUUGUAUAUUGCCCUCUUUUAUUGGAUGAUGAUCCGCCUUUCUAAUAAAUUUUCAAUGUACCUAACAUUAUUCUAUAGUGCCCUCUUUUGGAGUCCGACAUGAGUUUCCAACUUACUCCCCAAACUUCUAAAUGUACUCCUUAAGGUCUCAAGUAUAAUUAUCUCCAGGUCCGACCCUAGCACAUAAGUUAGAAGUGCCUAGGCCCAUGCCGGUAGGAGCCUAACAUUUUUUUUAAGGUGCAGACUGUAUAUAGAAAUAUUUUGUUUUUGGGAGCUAUAUAUAGCAAAAUUCUCUAAAAAAAAGCUCAAAUAUUGACAUGAUGAAGGGCUGGGCUGAAAUCUGUUAAUGUUUUUUGCCCUUUUGGCGCAAUUUGCUAUAUAUAUCCCAUGUAUCACAAACAUUUCUAUAUACACCCUCCUAUAAUAAAAUUGGUUGUUCUUAAUAAUGUGCUCAAAAAUUUAUCAUCGAAGAAAUUUGUGAUAUUUUUUUGGGCCCUUUGUUCCUAAUAAUGUGUCUCACUAAUAUUAAAAAUAUCGAUGAUAUUUAUUAUCCAAGAAAUUGGGAUAUUUUUCAUAACAAAACAAAUUCUAUUUUAGUUGAAAAUGGGCCUACCAGAGAAAUUAACCUUAAUCUUGUCUUUCAAAGAUUCCAAAAAAAUAAAUUAUAUCAAUACAGUAAUGUCAACUUUCUUGACUUUAUAGAAAGGAUUGCAGAAUUGAAUUUGAUAAUGCAAGAUCAUGUGAAACACAUUUAUCAUUAUGAAACCAAUGUGAGAUCACUACAAAAAAAGAAAAAAAAAUUGAUGUGAGACGUAUCAUCUUUUUUGUUUUGUUGUUCUUUUUAUCAAUAGCUGCAUUUGACAUACGAUGUUUUGGGUGCUAAAAUUUCAGUCUACUUCGCAUGUGUUAUUGUUCUCUACNCAAACAUUUUUGUUAGAUUUGGACCUUGAUCUUGGUUAAUAAAUGAAAAUCGUUGAUUGUAUCACCCCCUCAAACAAAUUUUUUUAAACCCCUACUAUAUGGUAAGGUAUACCGCAAAAUGCAAAGGUAUUUUUGUCUUUUGAACAGUGUAGUUUGGUACAUUAAGAGUAUGUUUGGGAGUUGAAUAUUUUAGUAAAAAGCUUUGGAAGGCCUGGUCUAUAUAUAUAUUUAUGAUAAAUGUAAGAAACACGAUCUUUUUAACUUUAUUUUUAACAUUCGCUCUUUUUAUUAGGUCAUGAUAUGUCUUUCUAAUAAAUUUUCAAAGUACCUAACCUUAUUGUAUAUUGCCCUCUUUUAUUGGAUGAUGAUCAGCCUUUCUAAUAAAUUUUCAAUGUACCUAACAUUAUUCUACAGUGCCCUCUUUUAGAGUCCGACAUGAGUUUCCAACUUACUCCCCAAACUUCUAAAUGUACUCCUUAAGGUCUCAAGUAUAAUUAUCUCCAGGUCCGACCCUAGCACAUAAGUUAGAAGUGCCUAGGCCCAUGCCGGUAGGAGCCUAACAUUUUUUUUAAGGUGCAGACUGUAUAUAGAAAUAUUUGAUUUUUGGGAGCUAUAUAUAGCAAAAUUCUCUAAAAAAAAGCUCAAAUAUUGACAUGAUGAAGGGCUGGGCUGAAAUCUGUUAAUGUUUUUUGCCCUUUUGGCGCAAUUUGCUAUAUAUAUCCCAUGUAUCACAAACAUUUCUAUAUACACCCUCCUAUAAUAAAAUUGGUUGUUCUUAAUAAUGUGCUCAAAAAUUUAUCAUCGAAGAAAUUUGUGAUAUUUUUUUGGGCCCUUUGUUCCUAAUAAUGUGUCUCACUAAUAUUAAAAAUAUCGAUGAUAUUUAUUAUCCAAGAAAUUGGGAUAUUUUUCAUAACAAAACAAAUUCUAUUUUAGUUGAAAAUGGGCCUACCAGAGAAAUUAACCUUAAUCUUGUCUUUCAAAGAUUCCAAAAAAAUAAAUUAUAUCAAUACAGUAAUGUCAACUUUCUUGACUUUAUAGAAAGGAUUGCAGAAUUGAAUUUGAUAAUGCAAGAUCAUGUGAAACACAUUUAUCAUUAUGAAACCAAUGUGAGAUCACUACAAAAAAAGAAAAAAAAAUUGAUGUGAGACGUAUCAUCUUUUUUGUUUUGUUGUUCUUUUUAUCAAUAGCUGCAUUUGACAUACGAUGUUUUGGGUGCUAAAAUUUCAGUCUACUUCGCAUGUGUUAUUGUUCUCUACUUCUACGGUAUUUUAUUUUGUUUCGGUGUCUACAAUGUAUUUGAUUUAUUUUUCAGAUGUUGUCUAAAAGAACAUAUAUUUGGUAGUGAAAAGCGAAAUAAAAAAAAAUGAAAUGAAUAGCUAAUAAAAACACAAUAAUGAAUUAUUAUUUUUUUUUUUUUAUGAUGUAUCAUGUAAGGGAUCUUUUUCUCAUACUAUUCGUAAAGCUAGUAAAACUAUAGAAACAGCCUGAUUAUCUCAAGUGUCCGACAUGGGUUUUCAUCUUUCGAACAGUUGUUCCUUCAAAAAAAAAUUCUUUCGAACAGUUGUUUCCUUCAAAAAAUCUUUUGAACAGUUGUUAGGUACACUAGCAGUAUGUUUGGAAGUUCAAUAUUUUCGAAAAAGUUUUGGAAGACCAUAUAUAUAUAUAUAUAUGCUAACUAAUACACAUCCAUCCAUAAAAUAAAAGUGUGCAUUAGCAUCAUAAACCUUUUUGUUUUGGACAAAAAAAACAUUAUUUUUGUUUGAAAGUAUGUCCCUUGAUGUCAUUUUGCAUUUCUCACUGUGUGUUUUUGUUUAUGAACAUCUUUACCUCUUGCCUUUUUUCUUGACCCAUUAUGUCACUUUAAGAAAAGAUUCACGAUAGGGGAAAGACUUUCCGUUCUAGGAAAUUAUUUAUCCUUCAAUUAAUUUCUUACUUUCUUACUUGGUUUUUUCUAAAUUACCUUUGAAUGGUGUGUAAUUUACCCACCAACCAAUAAAAAUGAGCAAUUUAUUUGUGGGGUCAAGAUAGUUCAUGAAUAUGUGCUUAUGUGGCUAAUGUGUAUUGGUUGGGGUAAAUUACCCAUCAUUCUUUCAUGGAUAGCCUAGUUGCCACCUCUUUUUCGUGAUUUGACUGCAUUAUUUCCUAAAUAAUUGCAGCCAAAAUAUUUCCUAAAUGAUAUUGCUGCCAAAAUAAUGAUAAUUGUUUGUGGAAAAAGAUGAAACAACAAUGGAGUAAUUUUAUGAGAGAUAUUCUUGCUAUCUUAAAAUUUAUAAACUUGAUGAACAAUCAUGGACUAAAUUAUAAAUUGCAUGGAAAUAUAGUUCAAAACCUUUUGUUUUUAUGACAAUUGAAGCACUUCAAUCAUAGUAACUUAUGAUUUUGUUACUUUAGUUUUAGGAACACUUUCUCUAACACUCAUCUCUUUACAUUUUGGGUAUAUUUAGAUAAUAAAAGGAAAGAAAGUUAGAGGAAAGAAGGUUAAAGGAAAGAAAGUAAGAAGAAAGUGAGUAGAAAGUGAGAUGAUUUGUUGCUUGUUUGGUUAUAGUGAAAGUAAGGGAGGAAAGAAAGAAAUGAAUUUAUUAAAUGACAUAAAUAGCCUUAUGUUAUUGUGUUAUUUAAAUGAUUUUCAAUAAAAAUACAUUUAAAUAAUUUUGAUAUAAACACUAUUAAAAUUGAUCACAAAAAAAAAUGACUAUAUGAGUUCUAAUUUGAGCAUGCUAAGAAAUGUGUAUAAAUAUUGAAAAUAAUAAAAUAUUCUAUGAGAGUAUGGUUCAAAAGAAGGAAAAAAUUGAAAUAUGUGUUGUAAAAAUAUACAAGAUCAGAGGGUAUUUUGGUAAAUGCAACAGAAAUAAUGACUUUCUUUCCACUUUCUGAUCUGUUUAGUGCAGAAACAAUUCUGAUGUGGGACCCGCAAAAAACUUUCUUUACUUAGCUUUAUGAAGGUGUACCAAACAGUAGAAAGAGCAUCAUUCCACUCUCUUUCCAUUCCACUCCUCUUUCUUUCGUUGGAACCAAACAUAUGUGAGACUCAAAUAUCAUUUCUCAAAACUUAAAUCCACACCUAAUCAAAACAGGAUUUCCUGUCAAAGUCGAAACGGGUUUGAAUGGGUUCGGGUGGGCACUCGCUGUAUUGACUUUCUUUUGAGUGAAUAAUGAAUAUUGCCUUGGCUACUUCUAAUGAAACAGAGGAGGUUAGAUAAGGAAAGACUUUGCGCAUCCGGUGUUCAAGGGUUGAGAUUCUCUCAAUUUCACAAAACAAAUGGUAAUGUCUGUUAUUAUAAUUUUGAAAUAAAAAAAAUUGGUUUAUUCAAUAUCACUCUUUUAAUCGAGUAAAUAGAGAGAAUCUUAAUCCCUCAAAUGUAAAUGGUUUAAUAGCAAUUUUCGCCCCCUAAUUUUUUACGAAGUUUCUCUCUAAAAAACCAAUUACAAAACCGCCCUUUAAGUUUUGCAACUGUUUCAGUUUUGACCUCUCAAAGUCAAUUUUUGGUUAAAAAAAAUAAAAAAGAUAACACGUGACACCUCACUUUGGGUGUCACGUCAGUGUAGACCGGGUUAAAAUUGGUUUUGGGGGCCAAAACUGUCAUAGAUGCAAAACUUAAGGGGCGUUUUGUAGUUUUUUUUCUUAGAGGCCCAAAAUCGCAACUUUGAAAAAAUUAGGGGGCUAAAACUGUUAUUAAGCCAAUGUAAAAAGUAAAAAUGUGAUAUUAAAUGAACAAAAAAAAAAGUAUACACCCUAAAAUAUUUAAAGCUUAAGAAAUUGGGAGAGAAAAUGAAGACAUCUUAACUCCUAAAAAACAUAACAGCUCUUGUAAAUAGAGCUGUCAAAACGGGCGGCCCGGCCCGUUUAGGCCCGGCCCGAUCGGGCCAAGGGCUUUUAAGGGCCGGGCUAAAAAGCCCGAUUUGAAUAUGGGCUGCAAAAAUAGAGCCCGAGCCCGGCCCUAUACGGGCUCCCGGGCUAACGGGCCAGCCCUGCCCCGUAUUUUUUUCUUCCCUUUUUCAUUCUUUUAAGUACUGAACAUACAUAAAUAUGCCGGGCUAACGGGCCAGCCCGGGCCCGUAUCUGUUUUUUAAGGUAAUUUGAAUACAGGAUAAAUUUUCAAAAUCAGUUGCUCUUUAUUUAACAUGGAAAAUAGCAUUGUAGUCAUCUUUUAAAAGAAUAAGUUGCAAGUAACUUUAAAAAUAAAUUCAGUAGCAUAUUUGAUGUAUAAGAUAUGAGUAAUGAACUAUGUUUACAACUUCUAUCAGAAGUUCAACCUUUCCAAUUGGUUAUCCAAGAACAAUCUCUGUAGUAGUAAUGACAGUUAAUUAGUCUAAAGAAUGCUAUAGGAAAAGUUAAUAGCUAAUUGUUCUUGUCAAUAUGAUGAAACAGAACCCUUUCUUUUGCAUGUUAGUAUUUUGACGUUUUACUUCACUUCCAAAGGCUUAGGGGUACCACAAAAACUAAACCACUGAGGCAGAACAUGGUGACAUCAAGUAGCAUAAUAGUAUAAAAUAUGUCAGUUUCCUAGAAAGAGUACUUGCUUUGUUUGGGCUAUGCAACUUAUGGAGGAAUCCAGUUUAGUAGUAAGCUUCACGAGAAGUAAAUUCACUGUGAGUCAGCCAAUCAGGCUGCAUCUUCAGCUCCAGUAAAUUCACGAGAAGUAAACUUUUUUUGCGGGCUGCCCGUGGCCCGAACGGACUCCGGGCUUUUUCGAGCCGGGCUAAAAAGCUCUUGAAAAAUUCGGGCUGUAAUUAUUAGGCCCAAGCCCUACGUUUUAUUCGGGCUUUCGGGCCGGCCCGUUUUGACAGCUCUACUUGUAAAAGACACAAACCUACAAGAAAAGAUGUUUAGUGCAUAUUUAUACUCACAUUGAAUUUGAACAAAAUCCAGAGUGCUGUCGUUUAGUUUAAGCUCUACAGAGUCAUAAUUUAAUCAAACUCAACAUGAAUUCAAGUAAUUUUUCUUUAUGUAAUGGAGUAUUUUCUUUUCAUCUAGACUAUUCAAAGGGAAGUGUAGGUCUGUGUUAUCAUCAUCGAUCAAAUGCUGUUUUUGGAACGGAUAAAAGAAUUAAGCCUCUGCAACCUCAAUUGCUUCUUAAACAUGUUUAUAAAAUCAUCAGCUUUUGCAUCAUCCGCUUCAUCUUCUUCUUUACUCGUCGUUGAUUCACUUCUCGCCAUUGAACACUCUUUCUCGCUCGCUGAUUUCUUCAUCAUCGGUUUGCUAUUCUCCUCAUCAUCAGAAUCACAAUCGUGGAUCGGAUCCGACUUGACCAGUUCUAUAGGUGGGGUUUUGGGUUCUGUUUGUGCUGGUUCGUGUUUGUUGAGAUUGAAAGACAAGACUCGCUGUAACAGUGAAGGUUUUAGACUUGGAGCAAGUUGGGGCUGAGUAGACUCUGGCUCAGGUUGUGUAACAAAUGUUUGCUCGUUAUGGUGGUGGUUGCAGUGACUGAGAUUGUGUGUUUGAUGGGUUUUGGGUGCAGUUACUGCAGCGAAGCGAGAAACGAGAGCAAUGGUACCAAUGACAAGGUUAACAAAGAUGAAAAGAGGAGAGGGUGUGAACCACAUGAAUGUAGCUAUGAAAUUAUUACUUGCUGCUAUGGUGUCAGUCAUCUUGUAGUUGAGGUUGUUGGUAGUUUGGUGAGAGAUAUGAAAGCUUACUUAUAACACUGUCAAUGAACACUGUAACAUGGGAGAAAUAUCACGUUAUCACGUCUCUUCAUCAGAACAAAAUAUCUUGACCCACUUGUUGGUGUACUGUAUAGUUCUGUCGACAUACAACAAUACAGGUAAAGAGAAUAUUACUCCCCAAUCCCUAUUAUGUAUCACACUACUUUGUACACAUAUUUCUUCAUCUAUCAUAUUUGGACAACAAAUUUAAAAUAAUUUUUGAAUAAAUUUCUCUUUGUCCCUAAAUUGUUUAAAAUGUCGAUACAAAUAUCAUUAUUCUAUCUUUUACUAUCAACAUAUAAAGAUAAACGGAAUCGUGCAAAGACGACAAAAUUACAAAAACAAACGAAAUAAUAUUGAAAAUACGUGGAAAUCAUUUAUUUAACAAAAAAAAAAAAAACAAUUUGGAUGGAUGAUUUAGGGUCAAUUUUGACCCAAAAUCAUCCCUAUGCAAUAGAUCAAAAAGAAAAAAAAAAUGGUGACGGUUGGAGGUUCGAGAAGGAGGGACGUGUAUCAUUCUUGAUAGCAUAUACCUAAACCCGUCUGAUGAUAGAAGAUAUUUUCUUUUUUCCGAAAGAAUAGAGGACAUAUUUCUAUAAGCUAUCUUUAUCAAGUGGUAAACAUAUUCCUAGAAGACUUAUGUUUGUUGAUGUGUGUUUCUGGACAAUGAUUUAUCAGCAAGUGGCUCGGGUAAAGGGUGUCGUAGAUCUUGAGGUCGGUGAUGAAUACUAACCGGACAUUUUUUUUUAUUUUAGGCAUAUUAACCGACAUUUUUUUUUUUUUUACUAACCGGACAUCUUGUAUGUAACUAUUCUAAACAGACUUGCAGAAUAAUGGAAACAUUUAUUCAUAUUUUUUAUUGUAUUUUAUUUGCUAAGUUGGUGCACACAUCACGUAUUUUAUCAGGACCUCCUUGCUUAAUUACUAAGUUGGGCAUUUUAUUGUAUUAGUUUUUAUGUUGUUUUUAAUUUACGUUUGAAAAUAUAUAUCAUAUUGUUAUGGAAAAUUUUGUAAAAAAAUAAAUGUUCAACUAAAGCAUAGUGAAUUUUUAAAUUUUAUAUAAUUUAAGUGUAGAUUUAGUGAAUUUAAGUGUAGAUUUAGAUUUAAAUUUAAAAAAUAAUUGUGUAGUUAAAGAACUUUGUCCAGAAAAAAGUCUGACAAUUAAUGGUGGUUAACUAUAUAGAGUUACUUUUGAUAGAAGAGAUAACAAAUCUUGAUAUUAUACAUAAACGAAUCAUCUUCAUUUUUCAAGAGGGCUUCAUUUAGGUAUUUAGAGAGAAAGACAUGAAGAGAUUAAUUUAAAAAAAUAAUAAUAAAAUGAUAAAAUAAUAUUAUCUACUUUCCGUGUCUUUAUUCUCUAAAUAAAGUCUUGUCUUUAUUUUCUUUGAAAAAUGAAGGGCAUUGCCACCAUAUAAGAUGGUAUGAAGAGUGUGGAAAAGAUCAAACCGAGUGAAUGUGUGAACGAGACUUUGAGGGGGCCUAUUAGAAAGAGUGGGGAAAGGACUAUAAUAUAUGGAUCCAACUGAAAACAAUGAUCGCAAAUUGACUACACCUUGCCUGUCUUAAUACUCCACAUACAUAUGUAGGAUAAAUGUAAUGUUUGAGAUAAUGGUUUAUGUCACAUUUAUUCUUCUUUUUGUUUUUCUGACUAGGUUUGGUUUUUUUGUCUAUGUGUGAUGCAUGUGUGUUUUAAAGUUUUAUUAUUUUUUUCUGCUUGUAUAACAAAAAAAAAAGGAUAUUAUUUGAUUUUGUUGUUGUAUUUUAAUUUUGAUUUUGUACUUUUUUUUUUUGAAGGAAUUUUUGAUUUUGUACUUGUAUGUUGCAACUCAGCGUACUCUUUAUAUUGUUGAACAUAAAACUAUUAAUGAAGUUAACAUUGUAUAAAUUGCUAUCUGUAGUAAACUACAAAGAAUAAUCUGCGGUAAUUAUUGUGCUAUAUUUCCAGACACGGUGCAACAAUUAUGUGUCCAGUAUUAUUUUUAAGCAAUAAACUUAUAACAUUUCAUUAUAAAUCAAAUCAUAGAUAUAUGUCGGUACAUCAUUAAAAUUUUGGAAGCUAAGGAAGUGGCUGCCUUUGCCAAUUCAUAGGUAUUGUGAAUUCGGACUCAAAACUCACACCAAUACAAACUAUGAUGUGUGAAGCAAAGGAAAGUGGUAACCAAUAUCAAAGUAAAGACAAGCAAUCAUCAAUAAUAACAACACAUAGAUCUAAUCUAGUAAUCAAAGUGAAAAGCUCAAAACCACAAGCAAAAGAUAAAGAGAGAAGAGAAACAAACACACCAAAGAUUGUUGACCCAGUUCGGUCCAACUUGACCUAAUCUCGGGGAGAGAUUGAUCUCUCCAAUCCACUAUCAAAAAGUUAUUACAAAGUGAUACAAAUGGGUUACAAGAUAUUAGCUUCAACAAGCUCACAAAGAACAAACCUAAUUUCUACCCAUUUUCCCAACCUCACAAAUGAACAAGACACUCAAUGAUUUUCACUCACCCAAGGUGUUUACAAAUGUUUCCCAACCCAAGAGAACCCUAAUCAAAGACCCUCAACCCUAAAAUUACCUCCUUUGAUUACCCUAGUUUCUCUCUCUUGAAGCUCCACUCAAAAAUGAAGAAUGAAGCCUUAAAUAGUGUUCAGGAAUACGCAGCAUCGUGCCACAUUUCGAGCCCAUCGUGCCACGAUGGAGCAGGUGAUAGUACAGUACUAUACCUUAUCUGUCUGCAUCGUGCCUCGAUUUUUUCAAUGGCAACCCAAAACCUGAACCAUUCAAUCGUGCCACGUUGCCCUGCAAACGUGCCACGAUUGUUUUAGACUUCAACAUCAAUUUUGAGACACAUUUCAACAAUAGGCAACCUUAUUCGUUUGCCUUCUAAUAAACUCUACAUGAGAGUUGGCUAAAUUUAAGAAGCAAUACUGAAUAUUACUAUCCACAAUGAUUCCAAACUCAAUAAUAUCUUCAUUGCUUCGGUUGAAAUAAUCUGCUACACGCUUCGAAUCUACCUCAAAAUAUAGUCCAGUAGUACUACUAAGUACUAACCCCACUAAAAAAAAGUCAUUAUUCUCUUUCUCUCUGAUACCACGCGUUCCAUCACCAUCACUCCAUCAGACUUUCCUUUUUUUCUUCCCCGAUUUCAUUUCCUUUUCCUCUUAUGUUGUCUUGUUUUAGGCCUAUUAGAAUUGAGUCCUCUUGUUUUUGGCGUUAGGUGGGUGUCUUUUUGGGAAGGUGGUUUGAGGUUCCUCAUGCAUACGGUAGUGAUUUUCACCUUUGGAUGUAUAACAUAUAUACGGCACCUUGUAUUUAUCUUUUAAAAAAUUUAAAUAGAACAUUGUUCUUUUAAAAAAAUACGUUUUUAUUUUAUUACAGACCUCUUUUCACCUACAGAGCCGAGCCUCCGAAUUCGUAGUAACAGUCCUUCAUCUACCUAGCAUAUUUUAUUUAACGCAAUGGUUGGCCAUCAAAAUGUUGGGGAUGAUGUUAUUUUUCGGGUCCUCAAUAACCUUUGAUGAUUAUUUGGUAGUCACAAAUUGGAUUUGGAGUCCCAAUUUUGUGUUCUCAAAUGCUCAAGUGGAUUAUUCAUUAGUGUGGAUUGAUAUUACCAAGCUUGAAUAUAGUCUAUUAUGACUAUUAACAGAGGCUUCUUGUUGAUUGUGCCAUUUGCGCUGAAGUAAGCAUGAACAUGUGCAUCUUUGAUAUCUUUCUCGACCAACAAAGGACAGUCACCUGAUAGUGAUUGGGGGAGAGAGAUAGUUUUUUUUUUUUUUUUUUUUGAAGAAGGGAAAGAGAUAGAGUUGAUAGGUUAGAUUUGGUGUCCAGACGAUAAAUUUUUUGAAAAUUGCUCUUGACAAUUGCAACACCCAUGUCGGCGGAGGAAGUAUUUUCGAUAGAUGGUAUUGACGUGCACGGUUUGGAACGGCGACAACAUCAAUGGAUAGUAGCAUUUCUUCCUUGCCCAGAUCAUGUUUAAUUUCAUGUUUGAAGUUCUUCGGCAGCUAACGACUGAGGUUUUUCUCGACAGUUAACUGCAGCCGGUUCGAGUAAACUUCGAUAGUUAACUGUUGAGGGGCAUUUGAGUAAUUUACUCGUGUUUCUCAGCCAAAUCAAAUAUGUCAACAUCAAUUUUCAAAUUUUUUUGAUUGGGGGUUUAGUUUAAUCUCACGUCGGAAUUUAAUUUGUCAAUUGAGCCAACAUUUUUGUUUUAUUUUUUUUGCACUCGAUUUCAAAGUCAUCUUUGGCUAGUACACUCUACCUACGUCAAAAAAGAUUCGGUAAAUUUUCUGUUGUUCUUCCUUUUUAAUGACAUUUUCGUUAAAAUCAAAUGACAAGUCAAAAUCAAAUGUGACACUAAAUCUCAUCUAUUUUUUUAGGAUGUGUUUGUUUUAAGUUAAUCAAAUUUAUUCUUAGGAAUAACAUUCCUUUGGAAUAUAAAGAUUGAAAUUUUAUACCAAAAUAUUUAGAAAAAAACAUGUUUGGUUAGCUUUAUAAUAUUCCUAUGAACCAUAAAUAUAGAGAUUAUAAUAGGUAACUAUAUUGGAAUUUAUUUCCAUCUCCAUGGGAACUUUAUUCCCACCAAUUUCCUUGGAAAAAAAUUUCUAUUCCUAGAAACAUUUUAUUGCCGGAAAUAAAAUUUAAUAAACUUGUAACAAACAUAGACAUAUGCAAUUCUAUCAUUUUAUUUUGAGGAAUAAACAAAUAUUUAAUUCAAAGGUUUAAAAUUAAAACUAUACCCAAAAGAAUACUUUCACACCAAUUUCUCUCUUUAUCCUCUAAUUAAAAAAAAACAUCUUUAUCAUAAAUUCAUUAUCAAUCAUUUCCUUUUUGUUUCCCCUGUUUUUAUUACUUAUUAUUGUUACCUAAGGUUAAAAAAAGAGGUUUAUGUUUGAUUGAGUCAGUCAUCACCACCGAUGAUUAAUUUAUUUUUUUUAGGGAACCACCGGUGAUUAAAUAAAUUGCAUUAAUCCUUCAAAAAAAUAAAAAAAAUAAAUUGCAUUAAAAAAGUAACACAUUCUAUCAAAACACUAAAAUGAUUCUUUUUCUUUGAUCGUUGCUGAUAACUACCUCUCAAAAAAUUGUUGCUAAUUAGAUUAUUUUAUCACUCUUCGUAUUUAAGCUUAACAGUAUAGAUCUCGGUAUACCUCACAACUGCACUAAGAAUAUGUUUGGUUUAGAAUAGAAGUUGUGAAGAGAGAAAUAGGUAAGAGAGAGUAUGGGAAGAGAGAGAAAGGUAAGAAAUAGAGUAAUAUUGAGAUCAAGGUGUCAUUUGAUCCUCUCUAUAUAUAUAUUUAGCCCUAGAAAGCCGUGGGGUUUGUCAUUCUUCAUCUUAUUCACUCGGUUUUCUCCUUUGGUUUUUCACUGGUCGUCAACAUCGCUGUCAAAAUCAUUCUUCUAGCGCAAGGUAAUAUAAUUUAUACUGUUUAUUGUGUAUUUAUACUCUAGUGUGCUUCGUAAUCGCUCAUAUCCUGGUAUAACAUCAACCUUAAAAAUCACGUUUUUUACUUUAUUUCUCAGUCAGUAUGCUUUUUAAAAUUGUGUUUUGAUUUUUCUUUUAUUGUGCACAUUAUUUGUUUUAUUUUUGAAAUUGUGAUACCAUUCUCAUUCCGGAAGCAAUUCCUUAUCGAUUAAUAUUCUGAUUCUGAGGACAAUAGGAGAACAUUAAAGGUGAAGAACAUGGACGAAAAUAUUGGUGAAAAAAAUGUUAUACUAAAACACAAUAUUUUUUUUUCAUAUAAGGUUAAAAUAAGGUUUUUCAUAGAGUCCAAUAUUGUUAUGGAUUAUUGUUAUUUUAAUAGGAUCUAACUAGUUUUUUAAUUCAUAAUUUAACUAAAAAUGAUAAAAUAGUUUAAAUAAAGGAGUAAAUUUUGAAAAGAAAAGUACAGCCGAAGAUUGCGUAUCUUUAAUAUUGUUCAUAUUAUUGUAGAUUGUUCUUCCUACUGUUAUGGAUUAUAGCUAUUUUGAUAGGAUAUAACUAAUUUUUUUUAAUUGAUAAUUUAAAUAAAAAUGAUAAAAUAGUUUAAAUAAAUGAAUAAAAUUUGAAAGGAAAGGAAAAGCCCAACCCAUGUAGUGUAUCUUGAUAUAGAAGAUAUAUAUAUAUAUAUAUAUAUAUAUAUAUAUUGCCCUAGAAAGCCGUCAGGGUUUCAUUAUUUUCAUCUUAUACGUUCAUUCGUUUUCUCCUCUGGUUUUAACUAGUCAAAAUCGUUGUCAAAACCAUUCUUUCAACGCAAGGUAAUAUAAUUUAUACUGUUUAUUGUGUAUUUAAACUCUACUCUGCUUCAUAAUCGCUCAUAUCCUAAUAUAACUUCAAGCUUAAUAAUCAUGUUUUUACUUUAUUUCCCAGCCAAGUAAGCUUUUUGAAAUUGUGUUUGGAUUUUUCUUUUUUAGUUUUUGAACAUGUGAAUAAACAUUGUAUUGUGCUCGUUAUCUGUUUUAUUUUUGAAAUUGUGAUAGCAUUCUGAUUCUUGAAGCAAUUCCUUAUAACUAGGGAUUAAUAUUCUGAUUCUGUGGACAAUAGGAGAGCAUUAAAGUUGAAGAACAUGAAAUUGGAACAGACAACAAGCAAAUAUGAUGAGGCUAAUGUGUUCCUAAUGAAACUGAUGGAUCAAGAAGAGGAGAUGCUUGAAAAUUUUAAUAAGGGUAUGUUGAUACUUUAAUGAACAGUUUUACUAAAUAAUGGUAUUAUGUUUCACUGAAUUUAAAAGUGAAACAAUCUGAUUUUAUUAUAUUAUAUCCAUCCUUUCGGCAUAGUGUACAUUCUGUUGCAUUUUAAAAUGAUGUGUUGCAGAUGAUGUAAUUUUUGGUAGCUUAGUUUGUUUCACAUUGUUCCAUUAGAAAUCAGCAAGAUGCGGCAAGUUGAACGCAACUAUCUGGAAAAUAUGUCUAAGGAUCAUGAAAAAGCCAUGUUGGAACUGGAAGCUAGGAGGAAUGAACUUAUGUCCCGUGAAAUGGAUCUGCAGAAGCGUCAAGUAGAUAAUGACAAUGAGAGCAAUAAGCUAUAUCUUGAGAGGAAACAGGUAAUUUAUUUUGGCUCUUCGAUUUUAUGGUAGCAAUACUAUUCACUCUUGUUAACACUCUUGAAGACACUUAUUCUGAUAGGUCUAUUUCAUAAAAAGUGUUGUCAACGUUCCUUAUUGUGUGGACCAUUUGGUCUUGUGUGUCCAAUCCCUCUUAUUUUAAUAACUUAAUUAUGACAUAUUAAAUAUGUUCUUCAUCUUGUUGUUUACAGAAUGAGAUGGCAAUUGAAGAGCAACGAAAGGCCGAUGAAAAAAUGAUGCAUUUGGCUGAAGAACAUAAGGCACGCAUUUGAUUUUCCUUUCAUGUACAAUAUUUAAUUCAGUUACAUUUAUCCACAUAGGUUUGAUGACCACUACAAGAAAUAUUGGAUUUUCCUAGGGAAAUAUUCCUCGGAAAACACACUUUUUUCGUAGGAAAACACGGAUUUCCGAGAAAUUACCGAGGAAACAAGUUGUAGGAAAUUUUAGAUCUAUUCCUACAAGAUUUCCGAGGAAUUUCCGAGGAAAUACUUUUUCCGACGGAAAGUUUGGUAGGAAAGCAUUUUUGCAGUCUGCCACAUCUGACACACGCUUUCCGACGAAAAUUUCGUAGGAAAAAUUAAUAAUUAAAAAUUGCACACGUUUUCCUACGAAACUUUCCUAGGAAACAAUUAUAUUUUAAAAAAAAAAAAUUAGAUCCAAAUUUUGAUUUCGAAAAAGGCGCCAAAUAAUUCAAAUGAGGUGCCAAAAUAUUUGGCGCCAAAAUUUCAUAAAAAAUCAAAUUUAAAAAAAAAACGAAAAAUAAAAAAAGUGCGCCAAAAUUUGAAAAUAACCCAAAUUUUUUGAUAACAUGUCAUGUUGAUAAAUAAUUACAUAAAACAAAAUUCAUAUAUGCAAGUUAAAUUUUCUUUGACAGUAACCACCUAAAACACCCCAAAAGUGCCCAAAAUCCCUAACCAAAAAACAGCAAUUGAAAAGAAUAUAAAUUACUCGUUAUGAUCAUCAUCCCUCUCCUCGUCCUCGUCCUCGUCCUCAUCCUCGUCCUCGUCCUCAUCAUCAUGAUCAUCAUCAUCAUCAUUGUCGUCGUCAUAUGUUCGGUCUUCUUGAACCGACGGUGAUGAUUGACUCGAUGGCGACGAUGAUUCCGAUGUUUUCCUACACUUCAUGCCACCCAUCCUUUUUGUAACCAUCCUUUUGAGUUUUCUCAUUUCCUCUGCCUGUUUGGCCAGCAAUUUCCUUAACUCAUUCUCCGAUUCUUCUUUCUUUGCCAACGCCUCCUUUUGAGAUUGCAACUCCUGGUUCAUUCGUUGUAUCAUUGCUUGCAUCUCAAGAGGCAGCUCUGUAGAACGAGAUGAGGACUCUGGUGGAGGAGGAACAUAGAACAAAUCUCCAUGUACCACAUUGCCGGCUAAUGGCCCAAGACCGUACAUUCUACCCUUUCUUUCUUUUCCUCCAUCCGGUCUUCCUUUUUCUGCAGCCUUCGCCCAUAAUUGAAGUUUAAUGGGGAAGGGAAUUUCCGGAUACGAUGGAAUCUCAAGAUUCUCCUUCAAAAAUUCCGCUGCAUUCGUGCGAUAAGCUGCCUAUAAAGUAAAGUAAUCAAUAAUAAAGUCAAAACCGAAAAAAAUAACAAAUACACAGCAGCAGCAAGCUAUCAACACCAAAACAGAAAAUGGAUCACCUAAAAAACUCACUCCCUAACCACUGUCAAUAACAGAACAGCAUGCCAUUGAUAUCGUGUUCGUCUUUCGGCUAGUACACGUAAUAAUAGUCAUUUCCUUUUUUAAUAAACCAUUGAUAUCAGCAUGAAAUGCAAUAAUAUUUUGAUAACUAACAUACUUAUUAGGCUCUUCUUAGCAGGUAGGUACUUUGGCAUCGUUAGCAUGAUACUAUAUAUGUAACAGAAGCUGUAGAAGACCUUUUGAUGUAUAAACUAAAGAUCCAGCUAGUACAAUUCAAUUCACUAAAGAUCAAGCUAUAAACCAUAUGACCGACACACGACCCACAUCCUUUGAACACAGCAGAGAACAUAAAAUUAUUAAGAAUUUACCUGGGUAUUGCUAGCUCGAGCAUCAACAUACCGACCAAGAUUCUGACUGAAACGAGUUACAUCAUGGAUCUCUUCCGGAUAAGGAACUCUACCCAAUCUAUUUCGCUAAUUGUACACACAAAUAUUAACCAAUUAGAACAUUUGGCAAAUUGAAUAUAUACAUAUAUAUAGAAAUAUAAAUAGUUAAAUAUAUUUUUUUACCAAAUCUCUAGCAUAGGUAGCGGUACUGACAGAACCUUGUGCGUGCAACUGCCCUCCUACAAUAGAUGCCCUAUUCACCUUGUUAGCUUUGGACCGAUUCUUAAAAUGUGGAUCUUCAUUCCAAUACUUCAGCAAUAACUCCCAGCUUUUCUCUCCGAUCCAUUGUGUACGAUAAUUGCCCUUACGUUUUUUCAAUUCCUGCCGUUCAUCAUAUAACAAAUCUGAUAAACGUCUUGCAGCUACCCUAUGAAAGUUUCUCUCUACAAGAGUGUGAUGAUGAGGUUCCCAUCUACAAAAAUCCUACAAUAAAAAAAAUUAUUAGACAUUCAGUAAUGUAAAAAAUAAACCAUAUUUUAAAGUAAAUACAAUUAUUUAAUAUUCAAUAAAAUGUGUUUACCGAAAAGUAUUUAAAAAGGUCGUUCCUGUCAUCGGUAGUAAGAUCUGAAUAUACGGCCCAACGCCUAUCUUUAGGGUAAAACGUCUGGAUCGCCAUUCUAAUAUGUUCUGAUACUCCGUGGGAUGGCUCUAACCUACAAAUUUGAAUUGUUAAUUAAAUUAUGCAUUUAAAAAACUAAUAAGAAUUAAGUCAAACAUAGGUAACAAAUUAAUUUUUUAUUACUUACGUUUCAGGUGUUGGUGUAACCACAACAAGGUUAUCCACAUACUCCCAGUCUUCAAUGAUUUGACGUCGUUGUCGUCGUCUUUGAUCAGCCCCAGACGGUACCUCUUCAUUUUGGUUGUUUUGUUGUUGUUGUUGUUGUUGUUGUUGUUGUUGUGGAGGCCGUUGAUCAGCAAGUAAGGCUAGGAAAUUUCCAGUUUGCAUAAGAUCUUGCAUCAGUUCCGUUGAUGAUUGUGAUGGAACGGAUGUGUUAAAGCCUUGUCGGACAUUAGAUCGGGUGGUGUUGUAAUUUGGCGAGUGUGUCGAUGGCGGAGUAAAUCCAGGCAUGGCAAAACCAGGACUAGAAUAUAUGGGGGGCUGGCUAGUAGUAGCAUGACUAGUAGUAGCUGCUGGAAAUGAUGCGGGAAGAAUAUGUGAGAAUGGUGCGGAAGGGGGCUGGCUAGUAGUAGCUGCUGGAAAUGAUGCGGGAAGAAUAGGCGGGAAUGGUGCGGGAAGAAUAGGCGGGAAUGGUGCGGGAGGAAUAGUCGGGAAUGGAGUGGGGUAAGGAGGUGGAGUAGUAGCAGUAGGAAUAGGAGUACCAGUAGGAAUAGGAGUACCAGUCCGUUCAUCAAUGUUACGGAAGGUAAUCCCCGUCGGCCGAACCCACUGUCUGGUAGGGUCUGAGGAAACAUCUAUUCUUCCAUUCUUCUUUUUCUUUGGCUUCCCAUGAUCUACAACAUGAGCCUUACCCUUAUCCUUGUCUCGUCCAGACAUCCCUGUCUGCUUGCCUAAACAGUCGGGAACAUAAAUAAAAAGAGUUGAUUAAUGCUCUAAAAUACGCACAGGUUUAACAUCAAGAAAAAAUGCAAUGAUACAUUCAAUUCAACUACACUGUAUCAGUAAUUCAGAAAGAUGGAUGGGUAGUACGCAUGGUAUUCAAAAAGGUAAACACAUGUUAACUCUCAACCCACAAUUCAUAGCUCUUACCUAACCACGACGGCGACACCUAAUGACGAAACCUAAAUGCACACUAACAGAUUUGAAUCAGCAUAAAGUUACUUUUAUACUAUUAUGUUAUGGUAAUAAUGUCAUAGAUUAAGAAAUGUAGAAGUAUGAUCAAUUGAGUAAGUGAAAAAAAGAAAAAAGAGGAAUAGAUUGAAAUUCUGACUUUUGCAGCAAAUUGGUAAAACUGCUAACAUGUUUCUGUACCUGUACACGUUCAUUAGUAAAACUGUACAAAUUGGAUAUUUAAACACCAAAAGUAAAAUUAUAUUUAUAUUCUUGACAUUCUAAGCUUUCCAGGGAAUGUUCGUUUACUCAAUUCGGACACCGUUUGAUAUUUUAAUUAAAUAGAGGAAGUUUAAGUCUGUUUACGAACAAAACUGAACUUUUGGAUUGGUUUUGUAGAAUUACACUGAAAACCCUAUGAAGCACGGACUCGGACACGGACACGGGACACGACACGGACACGGGACACGGCUAAUCUAAAAAAACUUAGGACACCGACACGGCUAUAUCAUGGUGGAAAAGGGAGCAGCGAAAACACUACCUCAAGAAUUUAGUGGAAUUCAACUUGGAGAUAUCAUCACCAAGUUAACAUAAACCAAACUUUUAAUUAAAAUGAUACUCAUACAAAAUUAAUUCUAAAACAUAUGCAGUACUGACACUCAAUAUUAAAAUGAAUGCUAGUUAUGCGAAGGUCACUAUAUCAAAUAGACUUUAAAAAUUUUAAGAAGUAACUAACCUGAUGAACGGCGGCAGCGGUAUACAGUGAAGGAAGGAAGGAAGGACGGCGACAGUGGUUUCUUGAGCGAUUGAGAACACGGCGGACACGGCUUCUAGAAGAAGAAUAAAAAACGACCACACAGGCUGCAAUUAUCAUAGCAUAGAUAAAUGCAAUAUGAGUCAAAUUAGCACAGGUCUUAUAAGCAAAAAAAAUACAUUCACAAUGGAAUUUGAAUAAAUGAAUUAGAAAACAACUUAUAAAAGUUGAAUGCAUUGUUCAGCUCCAUACUUUAUAGCAUGAAUGCAACAGAUAUCAUCACCAUAAACACCAUUUGAUCAACCUUGUAAUUACAUAAACCAUACAUCCAAAGAUUUAUUUUUCAAACAACAUGUUAUGAAAACCAAAAGAACAUUAGGGAACCCAAAUCAAAUUUUAUGUGUAUACAAACCAAAAGAACCCAAACGUGUUAACUUAUCAAAAGAACCCAGACCAAAUCAGAAAACCCUAAUAUUUUAAAUCACAAAUUAGCAGCAAUAAAAUCAAUUUAGCAAAGGUGAUUCACUAACCUUUUAGAGCAAUAAAAUCAACGGUGAUGGAUUGUGGACUGAGUGAGUUGGAAACUGAGCAAUUGUAGCACCGAUUGGAACUAUUGGACCGAUUGUGAGAAGCUAGGUUUGGAAGUGACAAGAAUAUGAAUCGAGUGUGUAGGCUAGGUUGGGAGUGUGAGAGCGAGAGCGUGUGAAGCCAUAACGAGGAAAAGGAAGGAGGAAGGAGUGAGGAGCGACUGAGUUGGUGAACGGCGACUGAGCGACUGAGUUGGUGAAUGGCGACUGAGCGACGGAGCGAAAAUUGAGCGAUUGAGCGACUGAGCGAAAAUUGAGAUUGGUGAGUGAGUGAGUUUGAGAUUUUAGGGUUUUGGAGGUGUUGGAGGGAGAUUGAAAUUGGGGAAAAGAGGUGGGAGGGAGACUGAAAUUGGAAUGGAAAAGUAAGCUACGACCCUUUCUUUCAUUUUGACAACAUUUUAUUUUAGGCUUAAAUAUGCAAACCGUCCCUGUAAUUUGAGUGAAUUUUGAUUUUCGUCCCUGUAAAAAAAAAAAUUUAAUUACAUCCCUGUAAAAAAAUUUUUGUUUUAAAAAGGUCCCUGGCCCCACUUCAUUGGUGAUUUGGCAAGGUUUUGGCCACGUGGCAGUUGCUGACUGUGCAACUUUUGCCACGUGGCGGUCCACGUCAUUAUUUUUUAUUUUUUUAAAAAAAACUGAUUUAUUUUUUUUUUCAAAUUUUUAAAAAUUUGAAAAAAAAAAACUGAAAAUAAAUAAAUAAAUCAUAAAAAAAAUUCCAAAUUUUUUUUUUUGAAAUGUGAAGAAAAAAAUUGGAAAUUAGUGUUUUUAAAAUCUACAAAUAAAUUUUUGAAAAAUAAAAUUAAAAAUUAUAUAAUCUCAAAAUUUAUAACUUUUGAAAAUAUAAUUUAAUUUUCAGAAUUAAAAAAAAAAAAUGAAUUUUCGUCAAUUUAACAAUACAACUUUGUUAGGUUCAUCUACAUAUAGGUAAGUUACUUUAAAUAUGUGUUUGAUCACACCAUAGAAGUCAUCUUCACCUCCAUCAAUGAUUCCUUUGACGUAAACACCACUGUUAAUUGUUUUUUUGCCCACUGAUCGUGAUUGAGUAUGAAAUUUAAACCCAUUGACAAAGUAAGUGUCCCAUUGUUUGACUUUUCUUCCCGGACCUUCGGCUAAUCCCCUCAAAUGAUAUAUUUGUGUAGUCGGAUGAGAAUUUAACAAUUGAUGCUUAAACCAUCCUUGAAAACUUGUAUAUAUGUUGCCGAUNNNNNNNNNNNNNNNNNNNNNNNNNNNNNNNNNNNNNNNNNNNNNNNNNNNNNNNNNNNNNNNNNNNNNNNNNNNNNNNNNNNNNNNNNNNNNNNNNNNNNNNNNNNNNNNNNNNNNNNNNNNNNNNNNNNNNNNNNNNNNNNNNNNNNNNNNNNNNNNNNNNNNNNNNNNNNNNNNNNNNNNNNNNNNNNNNNNNNNNNNNNNNNNNNNNNNNNNNNNNNNNNNNNNNNNNNNNNNNNNNNNNNNNNNNNNNNNNNNNNNNNNNNNNNNNNNNNNNNNNNNNNNNNNNNNNNNNNNNNNNNNNNNNNNNNNNNNNNNNNNNNNNNNNNNNNNNNNNNNNNNNNNNNNNNNNNNNNNNNNNNNNNNNNNNNNNNNNNNNNNNNNNNNNNNNNNNNNNNNNNNNNNNNNNNNNNNNNNNNNNNNNNNNNNNNNNNNNNNNNNNNNNNNNNNNNNNNNNNNNNNNNNNNNNNNNNNNNNNNNNNNNNNNNNNNNNNNNNNNNNNNNNNNNNNNNNNNNNNNNNNNNNNNNNNNNNNNNNNNNNNNNNNNNNNNNNNNNNNNNNNNNNNNNNNNNNNNNNNNNNNNNNNNNNNNNNNNNNNNNNNNNNNNNNNNNNNNNNNNNNNNNNNNNNNNNNNNNNNNNNNNNNNNNNNNNNNNNNNNNNNNNNNNNNNNNNNNNNNNNNNNNNNNNNNNNNNNNNNNNNNNNNNNNNNNNNNNNNNNNNNNNNNNNNNNNNNNNNNNNNNNNNNNNNNNNNNNNNNNNNNNNNNNNNNNNNNNNNNNNNNNNNNNNNNNNNNNNNNNNNNNNNNNNNNNNNNNNNNNNNNNNNNNNNNNNNNNNNNNNNNNNNNNNNNNNNNNNNNNNNNNNNNNNNNNNNNNNNNNNNNNNNNNNNNNNNNNNNNNNNNNNNNNNNNNNNNNNNNNNNNNNNNNNNNNNNNNNNNNNNNNNNNNNNNNNNNNNNNNNNNNNNNNNNNNNNNNNNNNNNNNNNNNNNNNNNNNNNNNNNNNNNNNNNNNNNNNNNNNNNNNNNNNNNNNNNNNNNNNNNNNNNNNNNNNNNNNNNNNNNNNNNNNNNNNNNNNNNNNNNNNNNNNNNNNNNNNNNNNNNNNNNNNNNNNNNNNNNNNNNNNNNNNNNNNNNNNNNNNNNNNNNNNNNNNNNNNNNNNNNNNNNNNNNNNNNNNNNNNNNNNNNNNNNNNNNNNNNNNNNNNNNNNNNNNNNNNNNNNNNNNNNNNNNNNNNNNNNNNNNNNNNNNNNNNNNNNNNNNNNNNNNNNNNNNNNNNNNNNNNNNNNNNNNNNNNNNNNNNNNNNNNNNNNNNNNNNNNNNNNNNNNNNNNNNNNNNNNNNNNNNNNNNNNNNNNNNNNNNNNNNNNNNNNNNNNNNNNNNNNNNNNNNNNNNNNNNNNNNNNNNNNNNNNNNNAAAAAUAAUGCAACAUAUUUUAAUAACUAAAUUAACAAUAUAUAUAAAUACACACAUUUUUAAAAGUAAACAUUUUUAACUAAACUACAAGUUUUUCUACAAGCUAACACUUUUUUCAUUAUACUCUCUCUAACACUAAUAAGUUGAAAUUUAAUUUAAUCCCACUAAAUAUUUUUUUAAAGAAGUUAAUCCAACUAACAUUUUUUUUAUAGAAAAAUCCCGCUAACGUUUUUAUUAAUUACAAUAUAAUAAUUUUAGUAACUAUUUUUCUAAUAAUUAAUAUUUAGUACUAAUACCAUUGUAGCAAUAGUUAGAAAUGUACCAAACUCAAAUAAUAAGUCAACGAACUAAGCGGAGGCAGCAAAAUCAACAGCAACGAACAACAACACCAACCUCAAAAUGGAUCAGAACCAACAUAACUAUAAAAAAAAUGUAACUUAUUUUAAAAUAUAACGAUAUUAAAUAUUUAUAAAUUCAAACACAUGUAAAAUUGAAAUCAAUUAUAAGAAAAUAUCAAUAAUUACCUUUGUUAGAAACUUCAACAAUGAUGAUAAUAUUAUAGAGAAUAAAAUUUGAGUGAUAUUAAAAAAAUUUGAAUGAGAAAUAAUGAUAAUAAAAUGAUGGAGAAUAAAAUUUGAGUGAUAUUAAAAAAAUUUGAAUGAGAAUAGAAUGAAGAUUGUAAAGAAGAAAAUAGAGUGUUGUAUAUUUAUAUACACAAAUGCUGCAACGGUAACAAACUGCUAGUUAGCAUGUGGGUCUCGUGUUUUCCGACGAAAUUUUCGUAGGUAAAUUCCACCAAUCAAAACCAUACACACACCCUUUAUCCAACGGCUGUGUGCAUGUGGGGUCGCAGCUUUCCUACGAAAAUAUUCCUCGGUAAAGUAGGCCAAUCACAUGAUUCCACACACCCUUUUUCUGCAUGUGGGGGCCGCAGCUUUCCUAGGAAAUUAUUCCUAGGUAAAUUAGGCCAAUCACAUGCUUCCACACACCCUUUUCUGCAUGUGGGGGCCGCCGCUUUCCUACGAAAUUAUUCCUAGGUAAAGUCAGCCAUUUACAAGCUGCCACGUGCUCCACUUUUCUGUCUAUAGUACUGUUUUUUACUGAAAGUUGCUUUCCGACGAAAAUUUCGUCGCUAAUUCGUAGGAAAACGCUUUCUAGGAAAUUUCGUAGGAAAGUUUUCUAGGAAAAUCCACCAUUUCUUGUAGUGGACUCUUUUGGUUGGAUGUUGCAGAAAGAAAAGGAGAAACUUCACAAGAAAAUCCAUGACCUACAGAGAGGUCUUGAUGCAAAACAAGCAUUGGAAUUGGAAAUUGAACAGUUGAGAGAAGCUUUCGAGGUAAAGAAAAAACUGGAGGCAAUCGAAAUGGAGCUGCAGGAAAAAGAAGAGGGCCUUCAAGACAUGGAUGAUCUUCAACGAACACUUGUUGUCCAGGAGCGCAAAACUAAUGACGAGUUGCAAGAUGCCCGAAAAAAGUUAAUAAGUGUAUGUAUUUUUCUCAGCAUUUAAAUGUUAUUAUUAUUAUUAUAAUUAUAAUGAUGUCAAUAUGUCUUUUUGCCCAUCAACUCAUCUAAUGGUCUGAAAAUCAAGUUUAGAAAUGUCUUCUUGUAACUGAUCUUUUACAAAAACAGGAUAGUGUGUUGCUGUUGCUUUUGCUCCCAUGAUUUCAUUGUUUGUUUUCUUCAAGCAAUCUGCAUUCUUUAUUCACAGUGGAUUGGCUGCCCAAAGAAACCUCGAACCAUAAUUUCUGUGAAAAGGAUGGGUAACCUUGAUACUGAGCCAUUUUUGGAAGCAGCUAAGAGGAAGUUUUCUGAUGAGGUGAAUGGGAAAGCAAGGCCUAGGAAAAAAGCUAGGAAUAAAGUUUCUGAGGAAGUGCAAUUGAAAGCAGUCGAGUGGUGCUCAAAGUGGGAUGAAUGUCUUAAAGAUCCAAGUUGGCAUCCCUUCAAAAUUGUAGUUGAUAAAGAAGGGAAAUCCAAGGUACAAUGACUUCCAAAAUUAUGUUAGUUAAGUUAAAGUUAAUAUCUUGAGUUAAAUAUGUUUUAAUUCGCUACAAAAUCACGAGAUCUUAAGUUUGGUUCUUAUUAAAUUUCAACAGUACCGUCGUCCAUAAUAAUACAUUUUGUAAGUAUAGUCUCUAUUUUAGAGGUUGAUUUUACUACUGGCACAUGUGACAGUGACUUCAGUUCAACUUGUUGUAUAAAUAAGCACUGUUUUGGAUAUAUUUCCCCCCUAAAACUAUGAUGCAUCAUUUCUUAGUAAUUAUUUGGCAUGUUUCUUUCCAUGAUAUGAACAGCAUGUACCAUGAUCUAAUAUAUGUUAAUAUAUGGCACAGGAAAUUUUAGACGGAGAAGAUGAAAAACUGAAAAGUUUAAAGGAUGAAUUCGGGGAUAAGGUGCAUGAUGCAGUAGUUACAGCUCUAAAGGAGUUAAAUGAGUACAAUCCUAGUGGAAGAUACUCAAUACUUGAACUCUGGAAUUUUAAGGAAGGAAGGAAGGCUACGGUGAAGGAGGGUGUUUCACAUUUAAUUAGGCAAUGGAAAUCAGCUAAGCGAAGGAAAACUUACCGAAACUACUUUUAAGGCGGUUAGAAUUUAGAAUUGGACUUAUGUGUAAUUUUACGAGGAUUAGUUUUGCUAUCUAAAAACGUUUAGCGGCGUAGUUUGUAGCCCGCUUGUCUUCCAUUAACGUGAAAUUUUCUGUAUAUAUAUAUAUAUAUAACACAAAGAUAAUUAGACCUAUAUGCAAGAAAUUUAAUUUAACUACUGGCUCUAAUAGACUUUGGUACGGUUUGGUGUUUAGCAUGUUGAACUUAAAAUUGCUUUUACCAACUGCAGGUUUGAUUAUGACUGCCAGUUGGAAGUUUCUUACAAUUAUUACAACAUAAUUUAACUGUCCUGUUUUCACACUGGUUAAAUAAUUAAUAUUUAAUUAUAGUUCUAUACCUAGUAGUGUACCAGACUACCAGUUCAGUUUAUUUCGUUUUCAAUCUAAACCUAUGUUAUUAUUAGAUGUUGUGAGUGCCCCGUUAACUCUUGCGUGCUUCUCAAAUGCAACCUUAAAUCAUCUAUCAUAAAUGAUGUGGACAAGAGUUAUCAUAAUUUCUUAAUGAACCAAAUUUCAAUGCAGCCUAAUUUUUACUAUCAAAAGACAAUGUCGGUUGUCGUUGACAUAUUUUACGCAUUGCUCCACGAUGGACCAAUUAUGAAGUUGCACCGUUAAAAAUGCAGUACAAUCUCAUCAAAUAUAAUUUGUUAAUGAGUUUUUUUUUUUUUUUUUGUCAAAUAACCUAGUGGUUAGAGCUCGUACAAUUUAAUUGUGGAGAAGUGGAGCAUCCGGUGUUCAAACCCCUGCUCCUACAUAUAAUAUGCAACAUCCUACCAACUGAGCUAAGCUCACGGGGAUAACUUAUUAAUAAGUUCUAUUAAAACAAAUGAUGUGGAAGAAUCCCAAGUGGGUUGUGGAUUAAUUCUUGGUCAAAUUAACAUAAAAAAAAAAAAAAAAAAAAACCUAGAUAAAAUCUCAUCCUCAUGACACGUAGAAAAGGUUGGGUAAGACUUGACGCAGCUAUAUGAUUAUUCAAACAUAUAAACACACGCAGUAAUUUUUCCAGGUUUUCUUUUUUGUGACAACAGCAACAAUAAUAACAAUACUCUAAAGUCUAAACUACCAAAACACACAAACUCAAAAUACAUUAUUAUAUGGCUGUGUUUUUUCAAAGAGUUUGUUUCUGUUGUCAAGAAAUUCCUCAUCUGGCUGUGUUUCUGUAACGCAUAAAAGAAUCAAGCCUCUGCAACCGGAGUUGCUUCUUAAACCUGUUUAUGAAAUCAUCAGCUUUUGCAUCAACAGCUUCAUCUUCUUUACACGUUGUCGUUUCACUCCUCGCCGCUGCCGUCGCUGGCCUUCUUCUCUCCACCGUUUCUUCAUCUUCUUCCCCCCGUUCAAACGUUUUCUCGCUCGCUGAUUUCUUCAUCUCCACCUUGCUCUUUACCUGGUUCAGAGAUGGGUUUUCAGCUUCCGGUUGUGCUGGUACGUUUUUGUUGAGAUUGAAGGACAUGACUCGUUGUAAAAGAGACGGUUUUCUAACGAGUUGAGGCUUAGUUGAGUCAGACUCAGACUCGGGUUGAACGUAAUGUGUCUGUGGAUAUUGUGGUUCGUGUUUGUUGAGAUUGAAGGACAUAACUCUCUCUAACAAAGAAGGUUUUCGAACGAGUUGAGGGUGAGUGAACUCGGACUCGGACUCUGACUCUAGCUCUGGCUCGGGUUGUGCAACAAAUGAUGGUUCUUGGUUGUAGUGACGGAGGUUAAAGGACCUGAUACGGUUGAGAAGUGAAGGUGAACGAUUGAGUUGAGGUUGUUGGAUUUGGUCGUUUUUGGGUGGACCAUUGAAGCGAGAAGCUAGAGCUAUGGUACCUAUGACAAGGUUUACAAUGAUGAAAAUAGAAGAAGGUGUGAACCAUGUUGCUAUGAAAGUUGUUGGGUCUGCCAUCGUUGUUAAUUUCUUAAUUUGGAGGGUUUUUGCGUUGAGACCUUCAACACUGAAGAGUGAAGGGUGUAAAUAGAGAAAGGAAAAUCACCAUUUACGUCUAGUCAUGUAGUCAGAAGAAAGGAGAAAAAAAGUUGAUAAAUAAAUAAAUAUCAUGGGGGUGGGGAACUUGUUUCUGUAGGUCUGUUGACGUUUACUUCUUUUUUGGGGGGAUUGUCGUUUUGUUUUAUUUUCUGACCAUUUUAAUAAUUAAUACGUACUUUAAUCUAAACUAAAUGCUUUGUUAAAAUUAAAACGACUUGAGAGAAUCUAAGGACAUGUUACUAUUUUUUGGUUCUUAAUAGAAAAAUGUUUCAGUUCAUAUGUUAUGUUUUGUUUUUUUUCAAGGUAUUAAAAAAUUUAUGAGCACAACAUUACAAAGAUGAAAAAAAAUUGUAAACACAAAAUAUAGGUGCAAUUUGAUAAUAGGUGAUGGGAAUAAAGAUAAAUGAACCAAAAAAUUAUAAAAGCACAUGGAAGAUUGACUCAAGUAUUACCAAAGUAUAAGGGAAUUGACUCAAGACUUUUAAAUACAGAUACCACAAAAUGGACCUACUCCAUUUGGCCACUUUUUGUAGCAGUGUUAUUUAUCACGAAAAUUUUCUUUACCAAAAGAAAAUUUCACGACUUUUAAUUGGUCUAUCAAAUUAGUUUUUGUCCUGGCUAAUGACAGCUCUAAUAUUAUGCAUAUUCUCAAUCAUGAAUUUGAGAUAUUUUAUAUAUGAUGAUAAAUAGUUUUGUAUGUUUAUGUAUGAUGUAUACGUGUUUUAAAUUUUAUUCUUCUUCUCUAUUUGCAUAGCAAAAUAAUAAUAACGACAUUUUGUCGUUAUAUUUCAAUUUUAAUUUUGCACUACUUGUCUACUGCAACUUAACGUCAUCUAAGAUUGCUUUUUUAAGAGGUAAAAAUUAAAAAACGUCCCUUUUAAAAACAAGGGGUGGCAAAAAGAGAUUAAAAAGUAUAAAAAAAAUAGAUUUAAUUGCAUGUUUGAUCCAUUAUGUUUAUUUUAGUUUUUAAGUUGAUCCCUUAUGUUUUAAAAGUUUUAAGUUGGUUCUUUACGUUUUCAAAGUUUCAUGUUAGUCCAAAACAUUACUGACAUUGAAAUAAGUUAAUCUCUUCCGCGACAUGAUAUUGAGUUUAAUAAAACAAAAAAACUAAAAAAAUGUUUUAAAACUGAUUUUCUAAUUAAAAUAAGUUUCAUCACCCAUAUUGUCAACCUGAAUCUUUAAACGUUAAAUGACUGAAGGGACUAAUUUAUUCUAACGUGAGUAAUAUUUUGGACCGACUUGAAACUUUUAAAAUGUAAGAGACCCACUUAAAACUUUUAAAAUAUAAGGGACCAACUUAAAAAACUAAAAUAAACAUAAAAGAUCAAACAUGCAAUUAAGUCUAAAAAAAAUACAAAAAUUACCAAUUAAAAACAGAACAAUAGCCGAUUACAUAGUGAUAUAAGUAUAACCAAUAGUCCAAUCCAAACCACACCUCUCUUUACCUCUCUUGUGAUCCAUAUAGUUUGUUGUUGUUGUUGACUUGACCCAAAGUGUGUGUGAAAAUGUUAACUACAGCUACAGGUAUCGUUGUCCAUGACAUUUAUAGUAGUAUACCCACCACAGUGAUGUGUCAUAUGUGUUUAUUUUUACAUUUAAUAUCGCAUAUUAUAUUAGCACGUCUUCUUUAUUUUUUUAUUGUUGACCUUGACCAUAUGCAGCCAUAGGUUAAAGUCUCCUCUAAGAAGUCAUAUUAAUUCGUUUAUUUAUACUGACGUCAAAAAAAUACUGUAGUUUAUUUAUACUGCACAAUUGUACGUGGCAAUACAUAUCAUAUUUAAAAAAAAAAUUAAAUGUCAUAUUUAUUGUUUGUAGUAAUCCUUUUUACAUUUUUCUUCUUUUCUUCCAACAAAAAUUUCAUCAAUCAUUUAAGUCACAUAAUAUAAAAUUUUAUUCGUAUUAAUUAUUUAAGUCACAUAAUAUAAAAUUUACUCAUUAAUUUUGUUUCUAAUUGAUUUACUAAAAAUUUCAUCAAUGUGUUAAUAUAGCUCAAAUUGGCAGGGACAUUUGUAGAAACCAUAGUUCGAACUUCGAACAUUCUAUUCAUUAGGUUACUAAAAUAAAUUAAUCAAUCUUGUAAAUAUAUUUAUAAUUUAUUUUUGUGUUGUUUGAUAUCGAAAAAGUUAAUUAGACUUAAAAGGAAUGUAUGAGACCCCAAUGAAGUUUCAUACUUACGCAGUGUUGAUAUAUGAAAUAAAGGAGCUCGAUGAUCAAACCAAUUUUUUUUUUUAACAAAAUCAAACCAAUUUUAUUAUUUGUCAUAUUUAAGAGAAGAGAAUCAAUGUGCAUAUUUCUUGACCAAACUUAAAGAUUCCUCAAAUAUUGAUUUUUCCUUUCAUGAUUCACCUCCUAAAGACCUUCAAAGUUUUCUAAGAAAUGACGUAGCUGAAACUUUUUUUUAGUGUCUAGUUUGCUCUUUUGUUUUCUCUUUUUGCUUGUUUGAUUGGCAUCGUAAAAAAAAUAAUGUAUGUAAAUUAACUCUGUUUUCCCUAAAAAAAAAAAACAAUUACUUACAAUAUUCAUUAAAAAUCGUUUAACUUUUUAGUUGUUGAAUCAUUGACUUGGUGUUUUAUGCUCUGACUGACCGAUAUCUAGUGUGUUUUUUGGCUUUGUAUCUUUGAUUAUAUUAAUUAAUCCACCGUGCUUCUCGCUGCAUUGAUAAAAUUAAUAUGCAUAUUUUAUCACUUACCUAUACAACGGUCCCAAUAUAAACGUGUUAUGAAUUUUGGUAGUAGUGUUUGAAAAAAAGCAAUGAUAUUUGUACAUCCACUUUAUGAUAACUUUAGUGAUAACCUUAUUUUUCUUCCUUUAUUGGUCAAAAACAAUAGAGAGAAAAAGAAGGAGAGAAGAUAAGACCAUCAUAUGAAUAUGAGAGAGAAAGUUAUACAAAAAUUAUCACAAAUUAGUUGUACAAAUAUCAUUUAUCUUUCAAAAAUUGUGAUGGAACAAUCUAGAUAGGUGAACACCUAAAGACUAAAAUAAACAAUAUCGGACACGAUAGGCUAUUCUAUCAUAACAAGCAGGCAAGGAGAGAAACUUAAGCAUUUGAACUUUCUGAAUAUGGGAAAAUCGACGUUUGCAUGUUCACAUCAGACGACCUAUGCACAUGCUGGUAGAGUCAAUGUUUUCACAUUCAUCCACCAUCAACCGUGAAUAUGAAGGACAAUAAUGAGGGUAAGACAAAAACAAAAACAGCUUGUAAUAAAGAAAAUAGUACACGGUUAAACCACGAGGGAAAAAUCGGAAGUUACUAGUGAGUAGUGAGUCUAGUGACACUGCUCCUUGCUUAUCUUAAAGUGUUUUAAUUCUCUACAUUAUUUAGACCUUUAUUCGGAUUUAGAGACUUGAAAAGUAAGAGUGACUCAUCUUAGGAAAAGAUAGAGUAACAUAUGAUGAUCCUACUUUUUCAAAAGUUGGGGGUUCACAUGUACAAAUCUAGAUCCAAUAAUUUGAAUUAUUUGGUUUAUGUUUUUCUUUCUAGUUGGAUCCCACUAAAACCAAUAAUUAGGUCAAGCACAGUUUAUAGUAUUAUGGUGGGUAUGUUUGAAUUACGAUGAUUCAACGUGAUUUUGUAAAAGUUACAAAAAAGUGUAGUUUUUGAAAAAUCAGAAUCAUCGUGAUUUUGAUAUAUCCACCAUCAAACUAUGACAAAAUAUGCCAAGAGACAAAAUAUGACGUAUUCGUUUCCGUUGUUUAUUUAGCCGUGGCUAAGUCGUUAGAGAUAGAUUUUACAUUCCUACUCGUUACUACAAAAUAGUCUCAUACACUUUUCACGACAUGAUAAUAGGAAAAUCUGCGAUUUAAGAGAAUCCAAGAGAUUCAAAAUGAAAAAGAAUUAUUAAACCAAUUAGAGAAUUGCAUUUGCAAAUUUGUUUUUUUUCCCAUAUAUCUCUUGUUAUUAAACCAACAAGAUAUCUGUAACAAAAAAAAAAAAAGAACCAACAUGAUCUAUUUGAAACACCACUCGCUUCAUGCAUGACUAACCAUAAUGCCCAAUUUUAUUUUAUUUUAGUAAAACCAUAAUGCCCUAAUUGUUGAACACCAAAUUAAGUGUGGUGUGCAAUCCGAACUAUAUAAAGUUAUAUUAGCUUGUUCUAUGAUGUUUAAAUCUUCCAAUCAGAAAAUAGAGUUCCAAACGUGUUACCUUUUACUCACCAUCAUCAUCAUCAUUUACAUUACCCAGUAAAUAAAGAAAAUGUGACUCAAAACAAGUUAUCUUUUACUAAUACCAUGUUCCUUGUAAAAUGAAUCUAUGAGAAUAUUGGUCUAAGAUGGACCAAUUUUUUCAACGGUUAGAUUAGAUGAACCCCAAAAUUUUAUCAUGAUCUAUAAACACUCAAUUUAACCCAUCUUCCCUUAUCAUUUUAUAAAAAAAAUCAUUUUUACCCUUUAUAAUUAUUUUAAUUUAAAAUAUUACAUAUUGUUUAUGAUAAAAAAAAAUUCUUGACAAAUUUGUUACACUAAUUUUUUUUGUUGGUGUUUACACUUUUUUUUACGAAUUUGUUACGGUAAAUGUUGGACAGCAUAUUAUUAUUUGAUUUUAUUUUUACGAAAACGUACAAAAAAAAAAUUAAGGAGAAAAUAAUUUAUUUUUUUUACAAAUAGAAAAAAUACAUGUUAAUGUUACCUGAAAAAGUUUAAUUUAGUUACCGUUAUCAAUUAUUUAUUUUUUCAUUGUUUUUUUAGAAUAGUCAUAUUAUCCUUUCCAAAAGACUAAUAAUAGCAGUAAUAAUAAAUAAUACAUUCUCUAACUGUUCAUUGGUAUCUUUUAUAAAACAAACUUUCUCGUUGCUAUGUUUAAGUAAAUGAAAAUAAAUUUUUGUGAGUAAAUAUUUUAAUAUUAUAGUAUAAAAGAUAUGUUAAAUUAUUAAUUCUAAAUAUUGAUCGAAAACGAUGGGUUUUUAUUGAAAACAAUUGAAGAUUGAGUGUUGAAAUUACAGAAAUAAAAAAGAAGGCAGGAAAAUAGUUUGAAAAGAGUAAAGGAAAUAAUUAGACGUGUGAGGUGCAUUAUGUUAUUGUGCACACAUAUAAUCCAACAGUUAUAAAUAUUGAUCCAUUAUGGACCAAUACUUACACAGGUCCAAGCUAAAUGCCACCCUCGUACCAAAUAUGUACUUGUUUUUUCUUUUCUUCUUUUUUCUUUGUGGAGUCAUCACCAUGAAAUAUAUACUUAUUUGUUAUUUAUAUCAAACUACAUUUUUGAAAAUUCACACAAUGUUAUUGCUGGGAUUUUGUGAUCUCUUUCUAUUGAUAAACAUUACAGUUAAAACCUUUUUCGGUUAAAGUUGCAAUGAAGGUGUAUUGUAACACGAAGCUUUAAACUAACAAACAUUAAUAGCAAUAACUAAUAAAAUGAAAAAAUUUAUCACUAACCAUCCUACGCAGAAAACCUUGUAGACACUAGCGGAUCUUGAGUUAAUUUGUUAGGGGUGUCAAACUUCUAUGGAAUGUAUAUUAAACGGUUUCACGAGUCAUUGUCUAGGCUGCCGAUUGCGUCUUGCCUAUUUUACGAGUGGUGUUGGAACCCAAGAGAAUGCUUGAAUAGGAGGUGUUAGGCAUGGGGAGCUUGUUUGCCUGCUGCUGCUGCGGUUUCAUGUGUGUUUUCGCUCAGUUUUGGUAGUUGUUAGGCCGUUGAAAGUUUGCUGUUUGCUUAGGCUUGCUGUUAGUUUCUUUUCAGCUGUUAUAAGGUGUUGGUUUGUGCUCCCUGGCAGCAGUUUUGGCGCCCAUGUUUUGUGUGGUGUGGCCGGUUUUAGCCAGCUCCUAUUUGUAUUCCUCUUUGCCUUUUGCACUUCUUGUGCAGGGCCCUUAUUGAAUUAUGCAGUUUCAAAAAAAAAAAAAAAAAAAAAGGGUUUCACGAAGUAACAAUAACUAAUAACCGGUCUAGUUAUAUAAAUUGUUUGAAAGCAUCAAGAAAUUGUGGGUUCGUUUUCAUCAAAAACGUUUUUUAAUACAAUUUGUAAGUCGCGGGUUCAACACUUCAAGUAAUUUAUAGUACCCCUUUCCAGUGCAACAACCGAAUUCUGAUUGAUAUAACACACCUAAUAUAAUAUAGACUAAAGUGCAAUUUUCCGCUCUUAAGUUUCAAAAUGUUGCAAUUUUGACCCCUAUUAAACAAAAUGAUAAAUUUAGUCCCUUAUGUUUUAGCCCCUUUGUAAUAGUAGUCAUUUUUUCCAAUUUUGACUUGGCCAACGCUUACAUGGCAUGCCACAUGUGUAAUAAAAAAGAGAAAAUAAAAAAUAUAGAAAAGAAAAAAGAGAAAAACGUGAUUCAUCUUCUUCUUUCCAUGAUUCUUUCAAACCUUUUUUCUCUCAACAGUUCACAUUCCUCAAUCUCCUUCUCCUUCAUCUUCUUAACCCAGUAACUUCAUCAAACCCAACAACCAUCUCCCUUUUUUUUUUUAAACAAAACAUUAACUUCCCAAAAUUCUGCAAAUAAUUAAGAUCUAAACCACAAAACAUUCAAAUCACCAACAAAAUGAAAUUCUAGUAACAAUACAAUCAAAAGUAAUAAUAUGAUUAAACUAAUCAACAUUUAGCAUAAUGUCUUCAGAAGCAAACUUGCAUAAUGAAUCACCCAUUUCCUGCGAUAAACUUGCACAACCUUCCCUUCACGUCCCUUGAAGGUUCCUCUCACAACCUGAACUUCAUCCUCCUUACGAACGGGAAGAGAACGCACGAUGUACUUUGAACGAAGGUCACCAGAGAGAGGUGCGCUAAUCAACACACGACGGACGUUUGAUGGGGCGGUGAAAUGAACCUUGCGGCUCUUGUGACAGCUGCUUGAAAGAAGAAGAAACGUGGAUGAAUGAAUUGCAGAUCUGAAUUUUUUUCGUAUUACUCUUCUAUGAAAUCGUGAGGAAGAAUAAUGGAAGCAAAGAAGAAGGAAAACAGGGUGUUGUUGUGCUGCAAUUAGGGUUGGAAUUGAAAUUGAAGAAGGAAAUAAAUUGAAGGAUAAUGGAACGAAGUGCUGCAAUUGUUGUUGUUCUACUCACGUUUUUUUUUUCUUCUUUUUUAUUUUCCUUUUCUAUUUUUGUUUCAAUUUUUGUGAUAUUUUUAAUUUUUCAAUUUCUUUUUUAAUUUAUUUAAUUUAGAAAAUGAUUAAGUCAUUUUUUUAUUUUUUUUAAUUCAAUAAUUACACACGUGGCGCCACGUAGGCAUUGACCUGUCAAAAUUGACCAAAAGGAUUAAAGUUGCAAUGGGGCUAAAUUUUAGGGGGCCAAAAUUGUAGUUUCUGUAUUUAGAGGACCAAAAUUGCAAGUUUUUGAAAGUUAAGGGUGGAAAAGUACACUUUAGCCUAUAAUAUAUAAGGAAAACCUGGGGGAUGUCAUGGCCCUUGUCGGUCCCUGAAGAGAUCUGCCACUACCUGUAGAGCUUAGUAAUCCAGGC